GCAGACAAGCUGGGCCCAGAGAUGAGCUCCCUCCCAGGGGCGGUGUCCGGAGUGACAGCUCCAGGAAGCGGCCACCAGGUGGCGUGUGCGCCUUACUUCCUUCCCAGGUUUCCAGCCGCGGGAGGCAGAGGGUGGUGCUGGGGUUCCAGGAAGCCGAAGGUCCUUUCACAGAUGGACCGUUAAGCCAGCCCAGGGGACGGCAGAGCAGCCUGAGGGAGCAAGAACUGUCACCACGGUCUGCCCGCGAAGCACUGAGGUGAUGCUGGGGUUGCAGUGAGCUGUCAAACUAGAUGUGUCAGAAAUGAGAAAGGAGAUGAGAGAACAAAUUAGAAUACAGAGUGAUCGACACUUUGAUGAAGGAAGUAAGUGGAGCCUGGGGUCCAUGAAACCCACUGCCAAACCAACCCAGACAGAGACAAAGUAUCCCUAUGUUUCCCAGGCUGAUCUCAAACUCCUGGCCUGAACUGACCUCCUGCCUCAACCGACCUCCUGCCUCAACCUCCAAAGCACUGGGAUUAACAGCAUAAGCCACUGUGCCCAGCCUAAUUUUUACUUUUCAACUUUGUACGUUGCGGUGUUUUUAAUACCCCUGCCAAGACCACAGUUUUAGGUAAACCGCCAUCCUGCCUAUACCCAUGUCCCUGUUCCCUUUCCUAGCUGUGUGACCUUGGGAAGUUCCCUUGCCUCACGAGGCAUCAACUUGCUCUUCUGUUAAACGGGGACAACAGAACCCCGUGAGACACUCUGACAAUCACAUGAAGCUAUGUGAAUAAAACAUGGGCCUAGUACAUAGCGAGUGUACAGCAGCUGCUCACUAGUCUUUCAACAAGUAGCGACUGAGAGUCUAUUACAUGCAGGCACAGGCAUAGGUGCUGGGGAUACAAGAAUGAGCAAAACACUGGUAAUGGGACAGACUGAUGGUAACGGGACAGACUGCUGGCAUAUUGGAAAUUCAGAAAACUCCCUGCCCUCCCAGUGGCAGGAGGUACAGCAAGCCGGCAAGUAAGUAAAAUACACUGGAUGUCAGAGGGUGGUGCUCAGUGUUGUGUGAGCAUCAAAGCAAAGAAAAGAAGAAGGGUGCUAAGCAGGGCUUAGACAUUUAAAUAAAGCCAUCAAGGAAAACGUUGCAGAGAAGAUAAUAUUUGAAUAAAAACUCAAAGAGGGUAAGAGUACAAAU
ensembl:lncRNA LINC01570 long intergenic non-protein coding RNA 1570